CUUGGUCAUUUAGAGGAAGUAAAAGUCGUAACAAGGUUUCCGUAGGUGAACCUGCGGAAGGAUCAUUCAUAAUAAGUGUUUUAUGGCACUUUUUAAAUCCAUAUCCACCUUGUGUGCAAUGUCAGUUGUUCCCUUUUUUGAGAAUGACCAAACAUCAACUUAUUCUUUAACUCUUUGUCUGAAAAAUAUUAUGAAUAAAAUAAUUCAAAAUACAACUUUCAACAACGGAUCUCUUGGCUCUCGCAUCGAUGAAGAACGCAGCGAAAUGCGAUACGUAAUGUGAAUUGCAGAAUUCAGUGAAUCAUCGAAUCUUUGAACGCAUAUUGCGCUCUUUGGUAUUCCGAAGAGCAUGCUUGUUUGAGUAUCAGUAAACACCUCAAAGACUUCAAUUUGUUUUGAAUGGCUUUGGACUUGAGCAAUCCCAACACCAGUCUUUACGAUCGGUGGAGGGUUGCUUGAAAUGCAGGUGCAGCUGGACAUUCUCCUGAGCUAAAAGCAUAUUUAUUUAGUCCCGUCAAACGGAUUAUUACUUUUGCUGCAGCUAACAUAAAGGGAGUUUGACCGUAUUGGCUGACUGAUGCAGGAUUUCACAAGGGUCGGCAACGAUUCUUGUAAAACUCGAUCUCAAAUCAAGUAAGACUACCCGCUGAACUUAAGCAUAUCAAUAAGCGGAGGAAAAGAAACUAACAAGGAUUCCCCUAGUAACGGCGAGUGAAGCGGGAUGAGCUCAAAUUUAAAAUCUGGCUGGUUUACUAGUCCGAAUUGUAGUUUAUAGAAGCGUUUUCGGUGGCAGCCUGGGUAUAAGUCCUUUGGAAUAGGGUAUCAUAGAGGGUGAGAAUCCCGUCUUUGACUCAGUGCAUGCUACUAUGUGAUACGUUUUCAAAGAGUCGAGUUGUUUGGGAAU
rnacentral:sRNA from 1 species